GACGAACGCUGGCGGCGUGCUUAACACAUGCAAGUCGAACGGUAAGGCUCCAGCUUGCUGGGGUACACGAGUGGCGAACGGGUGAGUAACACGUGGGUGACCUGCCCUGCACUUCGGGAUAAGCCUGGGAAACUGGGUCUAAUACCGGAUAGGACCGCACCGUGAGGGUGUGGUGGAAAGUUUUUUCGGUGUGGGAUGGGCCCGCGGCCUAUCAGCUUGUUGGUGGGGUAAUGGCCUACCAAGGCGGCGACGGGUAGCCGGCCUGAGAGGGUGGACGGCCACAUUGGGACUGAGACACGGCCCAGACUCCUACGGGAGGCAGCAGUGGGGAAUAUUGCACAAUGGGCGGAAGCCUGAUGCAGCGACGCCGCGUGGGGGAUGACGGCCUUCGGGUUGUAAACUCCUUUCACCAUCGACGAAGGGUUUCUGACGGUAGAUGGAGAAGAAGCACCGGCUAACUACGUGCCAGCAGCCGCGGUAAUACGUAGGGUGCGAGCGUUGUCCGGAAUUACUGGGCGUAAAGAGCUCGUAGGUGGUUUGUCGCGUCGUCUGUGAAAUUCCGGGGCUUAACUCCGGGCGUGCAGGCGAUACGGGCAUAACUUGAGUACUGUAGGGGAGACUGGAAUUCCUGGUGUAGCGGUGAAAUGCGCAGAUAUCAGGAGGAACACCGGUGGCGAAGGCGGGUCUCUGGGCAGUAACUGACGCUGAGGAGCGAAAGCAUGGGGAGCGAACAGGAUUAGAUACCCUGGUAGUCCAUGCCGUAAACGGUGGGCGCUAGGUGUGGGUUUCCUUCCACGGGAUCCGUGCCGUAGCUAACGCAUUAAGCGCCCCGCCUGGGGAGUACGGCCGCAAGGCUAAAACUCAAAGGAAUUGACGGGGGCCCGCACAAGCGGCGGAGCAUGUGGAUUAAUUCGAUGCAACGCGAAGAACCUUACCUGGGCUUGACAUAUACAGGAUCGCGCCAGAGAUGGUGUUUCCCUUGUGGCUUGUAUACAGGUGGUGCAUGGUUGUCGUCAGCUCGUGUCGUGAGAUGUUGGGUUAAGUCCCGCAACGAGCGCAACCCUUGUCUUAUGUUGCCAGCACGUUGUGGUGGGGACUCGUAAGAAACUGCCGGGGUUAACUCGGAGGAAGGUGGGGAUGACGUCAAAUCAUCAUGCCCCUUAUGCCCAGGGCUUCACACAUGCUACAAUGGUCGGUACAGUGGGUUGCCAGUCCGUGAGGGCGAGCUAAUCCCGCAAAGCCGGUCUCAGUUCGGAUCGGGGUCUGCAACUCGACCCCGUGAAGUCGGAGUCGCUAGUAAUCGCAGAUCAGCAACGCUGCGGUGAAUACGUAUCGCGGGCCU
rnacentral:rRNA from 1 species